CAAAAAAUAUUACCCAAAAAUAUUACCGAUGAACGGAAUCUCCGCAGAAGUCGUUUAGGGGGGAUAAAGCAGUUGUCGUUGAUGGCAGGACUGGUCGCCAAAGUUGCCUUGCUGAAUUCAUAGAAAGGCAUCAUUUUUUCCGGCCACCAUUGUUGACGCCAAUGGUGGUCGGCAGUUAAGGCUGACCUUAGACAUGCAAGAUCAUCGUCAUCUCAAGGCUCCGAAGACAAUGCAAGUCGAAAUGAUGUAUCUACAACUGCUAUUGAACGAGAGCAAGGUGGAAGUGGUGGAAGUUUACGUACAUAUGAAACAUGACCAAACUCCAUAAACGUUUGUGAUCGAACACAUAGUUGCAUCGUUGAAAAACGAGAAGUAAUUGAAUUAUCUAAAAGGGGAGAGAUUGCAGAAGCAAAAGUCGCACAACUUGAACAACAAAAUGCUUUGUUGGAGCAAAAAGUUCCAACAUUAAAACAACAAAACAAGUGUCUUAGAGAUUACAUGAUAGCCUUUCAAACGACCAGCAACAUGUGAUUUUAGGUUGGUCUUAUCCAAUGUAAGGCUGUUUCGAAAGCUUACCUCUUAUAACAUUAACUAAAGUUUAUUGUUAUAUUUUGUGCAUGUCGGAAGAGAGAAAUUGAUCAAACAAGAGAUGAUUAUAAUGUUGAACCUUGCUAAGCAUGUUAAUUUUGACUUUAAGUUUUCCCAUGGCAGUAGUUUGUUGGGUUCUAUGUGAACUUAUUGAUAUGUGGACUUUGUUGGUUCCAUUUUUCACUUAAUUCAUGUGUGAACGAUGUUGGUUUCUAUAUGAACUGUAUGUUCAAUUGCUCAAAGUUAAUUGACUUGCAAAACUAUACAUGCUUAUAUAUUUUUAUAUGUACAUAUCUCUCUAUCUUUCUUCAUUUGCUUUGUGUAGUGCCUUGGAGGGGUGAGAAAAAAUUUACUGCUAAAUGGUAUGUUCACUGCAUAACUUUAUGUUAGAAUAGUUCUUUUCCUAGUUAUAGCCUAACACUUUUUUUCUGCUAUCUAUACAUCAUUCAAAGAAAAUAAUGUUUAGGGUGUAAAUGAAGUGGUUGUAGAUAGAGCCAAAGAAACAAUCAAGUGAAAGCAUUUAGUUUGUAUAAUAGUUCAUCUUUACCAUAAUCUCUUUGUAAUUCAAGAGGAUGAGAUUAUACUUUGUGGAGGUGAAGUAUGAACACAACAUUACAAUGUUUCUCAUGCUCUAUUUAUCAUGUUGCACAAUAAUUUUUUCUUCGUCUCUAUCAUUUGUGAACGAGUUUACAUAGCCAGUAACUACAUCUACAUAGGUUGAAAAUAUUUUAUCUUCUACGUUGGUUGCUGAUUUUUUAUCAGGUCAUUUUGUAGAGGUAUGAUUUGAAAGAAAAUAUGCAAGAUAAGAAAUUUUAAAGUGGUCUGGAUAAAAUUCUACGUCCACUAUCUCUCACACCAAGAAUUGGAUGAUGUGAGGUUCCCUUGAUGAUGAUAUUUAUACAUGAUUUUGGGAGGGACUGUAAUAGAAUUGUUUGAAUUUUAAACAAUCUUUUCUUAAACUUUGAUUUUCUGUAACGUUUGCUCUCAUCUUUAAUGAGGAUGUGUUACCAUUUUCGUUGCUUAAAUUUACUUCCUUCAGAUACUUCGUUUCUUGAUUGUUAAGAUGAUGAUCAUGAUCUUCUCCAGCCGUUGAGCAGUUGUUGGUAGCGGGUCUGGUUUCCUUUUUGUUGAAAUUGUGCUGAAUUAAUUCAAAGUGAUCUUCUUCAUUAUCUUCUACAGCCGUUGAGCAGUUGUUAGCAGCAGAAUUGUCGUGCCAAGACACACAGUCAAAUUAUAAGCCAUGCACCAUCUGCACUAUUGAGUCAUGUGAUUGAAGAGGUGGGAGAUGCUCCUACAUGGGAUGUUUCAUGGGGUAUAGUUGUUUGAUUCAUUACUGGUUCAAGAAUG